CCGCGGGAUUAGAGUUUGAUCCUGGCUCAGGAUGAACGCUAGCGGCAGGCUUAAUACAUGCAAGUCGAGGGGCAGCACAGGUAGCAAUACUGGGUGGCGACCGGCAAACGGGUACGGAACACGUACGCGACCUUCCUUUAAGCGGGGGAUAGCCCAGGGAAACUUGGAUUAAUACCCCGUACGAUUAUGGUGUGGGAUCACAUUAUAAUGAAAGCUCCCGCACUUAAAGAUGGGCGUGCGGCUGAUUAGGUAGUUGGCGGGGUAACUGCCCACCAAGCCAACGAUCAGUAACUGGUGUGAGAGCACGACCAGUCACACGGGCACUGAGACACGGGCCCGACUCCUACGGGAGGCAGCAGUAAGGAAUAUUGGUCAAUGGACGCAAGUCUGAACCAGCCAUGCCGCGUGGAGGAUGAAGGCCCUCUGGGUAGUAAACUUCUUUUAUCUGGGAAGAAACCCAUCUUUUCUAAGGUGGUUGACGGUACCAGUUGAAUAAGCACCGGCUAACUCCGUGCCAGCAGCCGCGGUAAUACGGAGGGUGCAAGCGUUAUCCGGAUUCACUGGGUUUAAAGGGUGCGUAGGUGGGCAGGUAAGUCAGUGGUGAAAUCUCCGGGCUUAACCCGGAAACUGCCGUAGAUACUAUCUGUCUUGAAUGUAGUGGAGGUGAGCGGAAUAUGUCAUGUAGCGGUGAAAUGCUUAGAUAUGACAUAUAACACCCAUUGCUAACGCAGCUCGCUACACUAUUAUUGACACUGAGGCACGAAAGCGUGGGGA
rnacentral:rRNA from 1 species